UUCCUACGGGGGGCAGCAGUGGGGAAUAUUGCACAAUGGGGGAAACCCUGAUGCAGCGACGCCGCGUGAGUGAAGAAGUAUUUCGGUAUGUAAAGCUCUAUCAGCAGGGAAGAAAAUGACGGUACCUGACUAAGAAGCCCCGGCUAACUACGUGCCAGCAGCCGCGGUAAUACGUAGGGGGCAAGCGUUAUCCGGAUUUACUGGGUGUAAAGGGAGCGUAGACGGCGCAGCAAGUCUGAUGUGAAAGGUCGGGGCCCAACCCCGGGACUGCAUUGGAAACUGUUGAACUGGAGUACAGGAGAGGG
rnacentral:rRNA from 1 species